GCCAGAUGCACUCAGGCAAUAUUUGCAGAGGCCGGCACCUGCUGGAGAAAGGACACCUGAUCCUUCAUGUUCUCCUCUCUCUGAACUCUCUGCAGGAGUAGGGACAUCCAGUAGUUGUACUCCAGGGACCAGUGACACACAGCCUGCAUCAAGUGAAGGUGAAGGGACACCCUGGACCACAUCAAGCACUCAGGGCACCAGUGAAACACAGACCACUGAGACCAGGGACACUCAGCCUGAAGGAAGUGAAGGGGCCACAUCUAGCAUUCCAGGCCCCAGUGAAACACAGUUCAAUCUCAAAAAUCAAUCUCGCCUAGGGCAACCAAAGGGCUAGAGCCGGCCCUGCCUGUGGGAUUCCCAAAAAAUGUCAGGCUCUAGUGGACAGUGGAUGAAAUCAGUGUCAGACAUGAUUUCUUAGACUGCAGCCUGUCAGAAUCAUAAAGCUAGCAACUGAAGUUUGUUUUCUGCAGCAAUGCAGACCGAUCCUCUGAUAAUGUACCGAGAGGAAAAAGAAAGACCAAAAUUGAGUAUUCUGUUUGAAUAUUUAGCUUGCAUUAUAAAAGACAGAACACUAAAUUGUAUGAUAUUUAUAUAGUGAUAGAUUCCCAGUAAGGAAUACCAGUAAGAACAAAGAUGGAUGAUACAUGUAGCCUGUCCUGGAGACACAAUGCCAAACAGCAGAGUCAGCAGAUCAUCAAUCAUUAUCUGGACCAUCUGAAUAGGACAAAAGUAUUUUAUCAAAUAAGUGAAACAGUACAGAAAUGUACAAUAUACAUUUUUCUAAUUUGUUUUUAAUUAAAGUGUUAUUUGAGCGAAACAACUGAGCUCCUGCGACAGUGGAACCUGUAAUUAUAAUAAACAGCCACAUGUGUAUCAUUCUGAUCAAGACAUUGCGCAAACCUUAUCCAUUUC